UACAGAGGUCCCGAGCGUUGUUCGGAUUCACUGGGCGUAAAGGGUGCGUAGGUGGCCAAAUAAGUCUGAUGUGAAAUCUCGAAGCUUAACUUCGAAACUGCAUUGGAUACUAUCUGGCUGGAGGGUUGGAGGGGGGACUGGAAUUCUCGGUGUAGCAGUGAAAUGCGUAGAUAUCGAGAGGAACACCAGUGGCGAAGGCGAGUCCCUGGACAACUCCUGACACUGAGGCACGAAAGCUAGGGGAGCAAACAGG
rnacentral:rRNA from 1 species